rnacentral:lncRNA from 1 species
GUGGAACUGGUCGGAAUCAUUCAUUGUUGAAGAGAGCCACGUUCAUCAGAAUUGAUCAUCAUAUAGUCUUGUUGUGGCAAGGAGUCUCUAAGGACUUCUGUCCAGUGUAGAAUUUUAUAAUGUGAAGUUCUGGAAUGGAGCUUGGUGUUUUUAUGACCUUACCAUCGGUGGAACAAUAAAUCAUACAGCAUCCUUUCCCAGUUUAAAAGAAAAAAAGGAAAAAAAAAAAGUAAUAAACACCCAUAAUCAAACCAAAUUCACUUAACUGUCCAUGAUCAAGAAUGUAUGCCGUUAUUUUGAAAUCAUCUCUCUUAUCAGCAGGUAAGAAACACUAUUCAUCAUCAGUCUUCUGAAAUCAUGGUUGGUCAUUGUAUUGAUAGGUCAUAAUUCUUAUGUCUUAGUUGCUUGCUUUAUAACAUUAUCAUAUAGAAUGUCCCCAAAAUCUUAGUUCAGUUU